AGCAGCCGCGGUAAUUCCAGCUCCAAUAGCGUAUAUUAAAGUUGUUGCAGUUAAAAAGACUCGUAGUUGAAUUUCGGGAUCAAGGAAUCGGUCAUGCCUCGGUAUGUACUGGUUUUAUUGGUUCUCACCUUCUAAAGUAACCAUAAUGUCAUUCAUUUGAUGUUAUGGGGAAUUAGGACUGUUACCUUGAAAAAUUAGAAGUGUUUAAAGCUAAGGCUUACGCUUGAAUACAUUAGCAUGGAAUAAUGAAAUAGGACAUCAGAUUCUAUUUUGUUGGUUUCUAGGAUCGAUGUAAUGAUUAAUAGGGAUAGUUGGGGGCAUUAGUAUUCAAUUGUCAGAGGUGAAAUUCUUGGAUUUAUGAAGACUAACUACUGCGAAAGCAUUUGCCAAGGUAUGUUUUACAUUAAUCAAGAACGAAAGUUAGGGGAUCGAAGACGAUCAGAUACCGUCGUAGUACUUAACCAUAAAACUAUGCCGACUAGGGAUCGGAUGAUUGUUUAAUUUUAUAAUGACUCA
rnacentral:rRNA from 1 species